UGAGUACGAAAGAUGGUCGCGGCUGCAUAAAACGCAGACGAGGAAAGUCCGAGCUCCGCAGAGCAAGGCGCUGGAUAACGCCCAGCGAAGGUGACUUUAGGGAAAGUGCCACAGAAAUGUAGACCGCCUGCUAAAUUUUUAGUUAGGUAAGGAUGGAACGGUGCGGUAAGAGCGCACCAGCAGCCAGGUGACUGGCUGGCUAGGUAAACCCCGCCUGGAGCAAGACCGAAUAGGGAAGAGAUGAAGCUGCUCGCCGAUUCUUCCGGGUUGCGUCGCUAGAGCCUACAGGAAACUGUCGGCCAAGAUAAAUGACCGUCACUGCUUUUGCGUGUUACCACUAAGAGUAAAUACGCGGCAGAACAGAACUCGGCUUAUUGACUGCUCAUACG
rnacentral:RNase_P_RNA from 1 species